CCUACGGGAGGCAGCAGUGAGGAAUAUUGGUCAAUGGAUGAGAGUCUGAACCAGCCAAGUAGCGUGAAGGAUGACUGCCCUAUGGGUUGUAAACUUCUUUUAUAUGGGAAUAAAAUGUUCCACGUGUGGGAUUUUGUAUGUACCAUAUGAAUAAGGAUCGGCUAACUCCGUGCCAGCAGCCGCGGUAAUACGGAGGAUCCGAGCGUUAUCCGGAUUUAUUGGGUUUAAAGGGAGCGUAGGUGGAUUGUUAAGUCAGUUGUGAAAGUUUGCGGCUCAACCGUAAAAUUGCAGUUGAAACUGGCAGUCUGGAGUACAGUAGAGGUGGGCGGAAUUCGUGGUGUAGCGGUGAAAUGCUUAGAUAUCACGAAGAACUCCGAUUGCGAAGGCAGCUCACUGGACUGCAACUGACACUGAGGCUCGAAAGUGUGGGUAUCAAACAGGAUUAGAUACCCGAGUAGUC
rnacentral:rRNA from 1 species